rnacentral:lncRNA from 1 species
GAGUGAUGGCGGCAUGGGGGUGCGGUGGCGGCUGCGAACACCUUGAGGAUGGGUCUCAUUAUGUUGCCCAGGCUGGACUUGAACUUCUGGGCUUGAGCAAUUCUCCCACCUCAGCCUACCAAGCAGCUGGGACUACAGGUCUGCACCACUGCACCCCACCCAUUCAAGUCCACAUCCCCAGAAAUGAGGAUAAUGCUUGGCACAAGGUAGGCAUUUAAUACAUAUAUGUUGAAUGUAUGAAUAAAUAUACUGGCUCUUUCUCAAGGCCAGAGAAGCCUCUCUUCAUCCUCCCAGGACUUCCAUUACCUACUUUUUUUCUGGAGGGCGGGGGGGAAUAAUUUCAACCUACAGAAAAGAUGCAGAUGCAAGAAUAAUGAAAGGAACUCUUAGAUACCCUUUAAUCAAAUUCACCAAUAAUGUUUUAGUUUGUAAAAUCGAAUUUGAAAUAAUUAAAAAAAAAAAAUUAUUUUCUCCUCAAAUUUCUUUUUCUUUUUCUUUGGCUUAAGAAUCUUCAUGUUUUUAUUUAUUUAUUUAUUUAUUUUUUGUUUUUGUUUUUUUGAGACAGAGUCUCACUCUGUUGCCCAGCCUGGAGUGCAGUGGCAUUAUCUAGACUCACUGCAACCUCCACCUCCUGGGUUCAAGUGAUUCUUGUGCCUCAGCCUCCUGAGUAGCUGGGAUUACCGGUGCAUGCCACCACGCCAGGCUACUUUUUGUAUUUUUAGUAGAGACAGGGUUUCGCCAUGUUGGCCAGGCUGGUCUCGAACUCCUGACCUCAGGUGAUCUGCCUGCCAUGGCCUCCCAAAGUGCUGGGAUUACAGGCUCAUGCCUGUAAUCGCUGCGCCCAGCCUCAAAUUCCUUUUUUACCAUGAAAUAAUUUCAAAUUUAUAGAUUUGCAAGAAAAACACAAAUAAUACAAAGAACUACCUUGUACCCUUCACCCAGAUUUCCUGAUUAUUAAUCAUUUACAUUUGUCUGUUUUUCUUUCAUAUACCGUUAUUUUAUUCCUGAUACAUUUGAGAUUAAGUUGCAGACAUGUUGACAAAUUACCCCUAAAUACUUCAGUGUGUAUUUCCAAAAACAAGGAUACUUUUCCAUAUAACCUCAAUACUCUCAUCAAAAUCAGGGUAUUAACAUUGCUACAAUACUUUAAUCCACAAAUUCCACUUAAAUUUCAACAAUUGCAGGGAUAGCAUUAGGAGAAAUACCUAAUGUAGAUGACAGGUUGAUGGGUGCAGCAAACCACCAUGGCAUGUCUAUACCUAUGUAACAAACCUGCACGUUCUGCACAUGUAUCCCAGAACUUAAAGUAUAAUAAAAAAAUUUUCAACAAUU